rnacentral:rRNA from 1 species
GGAAUAUUGGGCAAUGGGAGGAAUCCUGACCCAGCGACGCCGCGUGAACGAAGACGGCCUUAGGGUUGUAAAGUUCUUUUAUGUGGGAAGAAGGAAGUGACGGUACCACAUGAAUAAGCCCCGGCUAACUACGUGCCAGCAGCCGCGGUAAUACGUAGGGGGCGAGCGUUGUCCGGAAUUACUGGGCGUAAAGGGCACGCAGGCUGUGUAUCAAGCCAUCUGUAAAAGGAUGCGGCUUAACCGUGUUAAGCAGAUGGGACUGAUGUACUGGAGUGCUGGAGAGGCAAGCGGAAUUCCCUGUGUAGCGGUGAAAUGCGUAGAUAUAGGGAAGAACAUCGGUGGCGAAGGCGGCUUGCUGGCCAGUAACUGACGCUGAGGUGCGAAAGCCAGGGUAGCAAACG